AACUUUCGGCAAUGGAUGACUUGGCUCUCGCAUCGAUGAAUAACGCAUCGAAAUGCGAUAAGUAAUGUGAAUUGCAGAAUUCAGUGAAUCAUCGAAUCUUUGAACGCACCUUGCGCUCCUUGCUUUUCCGAGGAGCAUGCCUGUUUGAUUGUCAUGAUUUCUUCAACCUACAAGCCUUUGCGGUUUGUAGGCUUGGACUUGGAGGCUUGUCGGCCCUUUGUCGGUCGGCUCCUCUUAAAUGCAUUAGCUUGAUUCCUUGCGGAUCGGCUCUCGGUGUGAUAAUGUCUACGCCGCGACCGUGAAGCGUUUGGCGAGCUUCUAACCGUCUUCGCUUGAAGACAGCUUUAUGACCUCUGACCUCAAAUCAGGUAGGACUACCCGCUGAACUUAAGCAUAUCAAUAAGCGGAGGCU
rnacentral:misc_RNA from 1 species